rnacentral:lncRNA from 13 species
CACUACUGAUGUAUUCUAAUGCAUUUAAACUUUCUGCACAGUUUCUACAUGUUAAAAGCACCUCGGUGAGCAUCUACAGAUUGAAGAUUUUACCAUCCAAAACCCACAAAGAGAAAACUCCUACUGUGGUCUUCAGAAUUUCCAUUCAGCUGAUUUGCCUGCCAAGUCCAGUGACCAGUACCGCCGCUCCUGAUGGUGGGGAGCAUAUGGUACUGCUGUGAAUAGUUUUGCUCUCACUGCUGUGAAAUCCCACGCCUUCCUACAGAAUGUGUUUGGAGGAGCAAAUGGUAAGUGUCGCUAUUCAGCAUAGCUCUGUCUCUGCCUAUGGAACCCAGUCUUUUAAACAACAA